rnacentral:rRNA from 1 species
GAUAACGGGUAACGGGGAAUCAGGGUUCGAUUCCGGAGAGGGAGCCUGAGAAACGGCUACCACUUCCAAGGAAGGCAGCAGGCGCGCAAAUUACCCAAUCCCGGCACGGGGAGGUAGUGACGAAAAAUACGGAUACGGGACUCAUCAGAGGCUCCGUAAUUCGAAUGAGUACACUUUAAAUCCUUGUACGAGGAUCAACUGGAGGGCAAGUCUGGUGCCAGCAGCCGCGGUAACUCCAGCUCCAGAAGCGUAUAUUAAAGUUGUUGCAGUUAAAAAGCUCGUAGUUGGAUCUGGGUCGCAUGGCUACAUGCUGCGCUCGUAUUUCCAAUCUGGUUACGACUGGAGCGGAUUUGUGAGUCAGUGUCGUGGUUGUGCAGCCUUUCUGCCGUGUCUGGAUUCCAGGUGCUGGCUAUCAGUGGGUUCGUCUCGCUGUUUAGUUGGCAUGCUUCUCGAUGCCUUUCAACGGGUGUCGGAUGCGGACGGCACGUUUACUUUGAACAAAUUUGAGUGCUCAAAGCAGGCCACAGAGCCUGAAAAUUCUUGCAUGGAAUAAUGAAAUAGGACUUCGGUUCUAUUUUGUUGGUUUUCGGAUCCGAAGUAAUGGUUAAGAGGGACAGACGGGGGCAUUUGUAUGGCGGUGUUAGAGGUGAAAUUCUUGGAUCGCCGCCAGACAAACUACAGCGAAAGCAUUUGCCAAGGAUGUUUUCAUUGAUCUGGAGCGAAAGUCAGAGGUUCGAAGACGAUCAGAUACCGUCCUAGUUCUGACCAUAAACGAUGCCAACUGACGAUCCGCGGUGGUUCUUUUAUUGUCCCCGCGGGCAGUCCCCGGGAAACCUUUAAGUCUUUGGGCUCCGGGGGAAGUAUGGUUGCAAAGCUGAAACUUAAAGGAAUUGACGGAAGGGCACCACCAGGAGUGGAGCCUGCGGCUUAAUUCGACUCAACACGGGAAAACUCACCCGGCCCGGACACCGUGAGGAUUGACAGAUUGAAAGCUCUUUCUUGAUUCGGUGGUUGGUGGUGCAUGGCCGUUCUUAGUUGGUGGAGCGAUUUGUCUGGUUAAUUCCGAUAACGAACGAGACUUUGGCCUGCUAAAUAGUAAGCCUGUCCUGUGUGCUCGUGCGGGUGACGGUGCUCAUUGCCCUUCGAGGCGGUGGUGUCGUUCGCCGGCGGGUGCUGCGCAGGUGUUUACUUCUUAGAGGGACAAGCGGCGAGACAGUCGCACGAAAAUGAGCAAUAACAGGUCUGUGAUGCCCUUAGAUGUCCGGGGCCGCACGUGCGCUACAAUGACGGUUUCAGCGAGUUUGGAAACCUGGCCUGAGAGGGUUGGGCAAACUGAAUCAUCACCGUCGUGACUGGGAUCGGGGCUUGCAAUUAUUCCCCGUGAACGAGGAAUUCCUGGUAAGUGCAAGUCAUAAGCUUGCGCUGAUUACGUCCCUGCCCUUUGUAC